CACCGCGGUUAUACGAGAGGCCCAAGCUGAUAGCUACCGGCGUAAAGAGUGGUUAAUACACCCCAUAAACUAAAGCCGAACAUCUCCAAAGUUGUAAAACACACUCGAAGGUAUGAAGACCCCCCACGAAAGUGGCUUUAUAACCCUUGAAUCCACGAAAGCUAGGGAA
rnacentral:rRNA from 1 species